AGAGUUUGAUCCAUGGCUCAGGACGAACGCUGGCGGCGUGCUUAACACAUGCAAGUCGAACGAUGAUGCCCAGCUUGCUGGGCGGAUUAGUGGCGAACGGGUGAGUAAUACGUGAGUAACCUGCCCUUGACUCUGGGAUAAGCCUGGGAAACUGGGUCUAAUACUGGAUACUACCUCUUACCGCAUGGUGGGUGGUGGAAAGGGUUUUACUGGUUUUGGAUGGGCUCACGGCCUAUCAGCUUGUUGGUGGGGUAAUGGCUCACCAAGGCGACGACGGGUAGCCGGCCUGAGAGGGUGACCGGCCACACUGGGACUGAGACACGGCCCAGACUCCUACGGGAGGCAGCAGUGGGGAAUAUUGCACAAUGGGCGGAAGCCUGAUGCAGCGACGCCGCGUGAGGGAUGACGGCCUUCGGGUUGUAAACCUCUUUCAGUAGGGAAGAAGCGAGAG
rnacentral:rRNA from 1 species